AGCCUGCAGUGGUGUUUUACACGCCAGAGCAGUGAUGAGAGUGCAGAGUGUCCCCAGCAUGUUGUCAGAGUGUGGUGUGAACGCCUCUUACUGUCCAGCAGAGAGAUGACCAGAGGUGGAGUGUGAGGAGAGGAGAGACUGCAGGACCCUCCUAUAAGGAGCCAGGCAGCUUUUGAGGAAAGAGGCCCUCAGAAAUCAACCAAUCACGUUUAUUUACAAAAAAGAAAUGCAAAAUUACCGUUUUACCACUGAGAUUUGUUUACCAGUUUACAGUUACCAGAUAUCAGAGAUCAAAUGCAAUGAGUGAUGUCUUUUUUGCAAAGGAUGUCCAAGAGAAAACACACACAAAAAUACAUUAGCAUGAAAACAUUUCGCAUCUGAUAGUUAGUUACUUUUACAAAGACAUCAACUGGGUGUUCAGCAGAGAAAUAGUGUCACCCUCAUGGCUGUGUUGAAGAUGAAUAUGGUUGGUACAUGUUUGUCUGGUAGGGUGACAUAACCAAGCAUUUCAAUACUUUUACUGCAAUAAUAGAUGGUUAGAUGAAGUGAAAUCAAAAUAAUAUUGAUAUAUUUACGGUAUGUCCACAUUACCUAAAGAGAUCUCAUAUUCAGGAGAACCUCAUCAAGGCUAAGGGUGUCUGAGGGGAGGGAGAGGGCAUGUCACUCACAGGGAAGACUUGGGGGGACGGAUGUGAUGGGAGAAGGGGACGAGCUGAACAUACUUGUGUUGAGAAUUAGCAGCUCUGUUGCGUCAUCUUACUAAAGUAAGAAUGUCUUAGACUUUCAUUUGAUUUUUGAAUAAUUUAGUAGCCGAGGUCAUACUGGUGUACAUGUCGAAGAGUAGCAGAAUUAACCUAUAGUAAUAAGAGGAAAACACAUGCAUUUAUUGCAGGCAAACUAAACGUUAAGUUGAAUUCACUGUUAUACAGCCAUAUUGCCACAGGAGGCAGUAUUGUCCACCGGAAGCCUGCAGAUGUCUCCAUGACAGAGGAAUUCAAAAUGCAGUUAAAUUCUGACGAUAUCUUUCUAUGUCUAUCUGUAUAAAGCAUUUGAAGAAUGUUCAACUACUUGUUUCCAAUGUCA
ensembl:lncRNA